rnacentral:rRNA from 1 species
UACAGAGGGGGCAAGCGUUAUUCGGAAUUAUUGGGCGUAAAGGGCGCGUAGGCGGUUCUUCAAGUCUCUCGUGAAAUCCCUCGGCUUAACUGAGGACGUGCGGGAGAUACUGAAGGGCUUGAGUCCGGGAGAGGUGAGUGGAAUUCCCAGUGUAGCGGUGAAAUGCGUAGAUAUUGGGAGGAACACCAGUGGCGAAGGCGGCUCACUGGACCGGAACUGACGCUGAGGCGCGAAAGCGUGGGGAGCAAACGGG